rnacentral:lncRNA from 1 species
UGAACACACACACACACACACACCUACUGAGUUAACAUGUUCAUGUUGUUGAACUGCAGGAGCUCUUGUGGCCGGCAUAAUAUUCUCCGUGAUUCUCCUCGCUGGCAUAGUUUUCCUGGCAAGACCAGUGAUGGCAAACUAUCAAGCACGUCAGGUUCAAAUGAAGAAGCAAAGGAACUCCAAUGGGGAAAAUGGCCACACUGAUCCAGAUUGCUCUCCCUAUGCUGUGGGCUACAGGCAGCCGGAACCUUACUCUGUGGUACCGAUCAGGACACAGAUGGACAGUGCUGUGGGCUUCAGGCAGCCGGAACCUUACUCUGUAGUACCCAUCAGGCACAGAUGGACAGUGCUGUGGGCUACAGGCAGCCGGAACCUUACUCUGUGGUACCCGAUCAGGACACAGAUGGACAGUGCUGUGGGCUUCAGGCAGCCGGAACCUUACUCUGUAGUACCCAUCAGGACACAGAUGGACAGUGCUGUGGGCUUCAGGCCAGCCGGAACCUUACUCUGUAGUACCCAUCAGGCACCACAGAUGGACAGUGCUGUGGGCUUCAGGCAGCCGGACCGUACCCAUCAGGACACAGAUGGACAGUGCUGUGUCCUCACCAGCAGGACCCAGUGGACAGACCUCAGAUAUGCCUGAACCUUACUCUGUCAUUGCACUCAACAAUAUAGCGUAAAACAACAGGUACCUCGGUCUAGAACCUCAAAG